GCUGUAACCCCUACUGCGGGCUGAAGCUCCUGUCUGCAGCCCUCUCCAGAUCUCUCUCUGUUUCUGGUGUGCACUAACUCGUCAUCAGGUGACAGCUCCCUAGCAUUUUAAGCCACCAGAGUUCCUGGCACCCAUCUGCUUCUAAAACCAGGAUGUUGCAAGUAGAGAAUAGAUCACACCCCUAGUUGGGUGGGAGCAUCCCAGAAGAUAUCUAAGUCGUAAGAUAAAGCUGGCAAUUCCGAGGAUCCCAUGGAAGAGUGGAAGAGUGCAGAAACACCAGCAUUGCCUUACAACUCUCGUGACAACAAAAGAAUGUGUGAUAAGGAGGCACAAAACUGAAAACUGGCACGUUGCAGGUGGUUGUUCAGCCUCAUUUUGGGACACAUCCUAUUGCAAGUAGAUAGCAGAACAAUUUUUUUCUGGAGGUUGUGAUAACUGCAUCUGGGCCAGAAUGAAAGCAGAAACAAUUGGAAAUACUUAGUUUAAUUGCCAAGAACAAGAAGAGCAAUUGUAACAGCAGUAGAAAGUAGCCUUUGAGUAAAUAUUCUCCCUGUGCCCCUAUGUGCCCCUGCCAGCCUCCGUCACAAUCUUCACAGCCCAUAGCAGCGUUUCUCAAACUUUUAUUUAUUACAGCCCAAUAAAGAGUGUUUUAAGACA